rnacentral:misc_RNA from 1 species
CAUGAAUAUGAUAACUAUUUCUAUUAACAUAUAUGGUCAACCCAAUUUAGAAAUAAACAAGAAAUAAAAUCAAAAGAUCAUUCAAAUUUUGCUUUUAUCAUCAUCAUCACUGAGUUCAUCUUCAAUCCCGUGAAAACUCAUCCUAUCUGAUGCUUGUUUUGCCCAUUGAACAAUCUUCUCCGCCUCCCUGCUAAUUUUCUCUUGCUCUUUCAUUGCCUGUCUUAGAAUCUUUUCUUGCUCCUUCGAUGAAAAUGUGUUUAAAACCGACAAGAACUCAUCAUUCUUGCUACCCCAUUCAAUAAUAUUCCAGUUUUCUUUCUUCUUUUUCUUUGAAUCCUUCUUCGGGGAACACCAAAAGCAGCCGGUUUUCCGAGAAGGAGAAGGCGAAUCCAUGGAAUAGUUUGGCGAACCCAAAGGAGAAUUAAAUGACUCGGAUUUCAAUUUAGAAUUAAACGAACUCCUCUUCCCUGAGUUAUGUUUGGAUGGCGUGGAAAUGAAAUUUUCAAUCCAUGAAUUGGAAGAAUCAGAAGGGGAGAAAAGUGAUUCAUCUUUGGAUUUCUCCUCCAAACCCUUUUCUCUACUUGGGUUUUCAUCCACAGGGGAGAAAAUCUCUUCUCCUAUAGAAGAAUUCAAGGGGAAAGAAACAUACCCUUUACUUGCUGAUUCCUUCCCUUUAGCAUUCAAGAAACUAUCUACUUCAUCCUUCAUUGAGCUCGUUUUCCCAACUGACUCAGUUUUGUUAGGAGAGCCAUGAACUGUCUUGCCUCUGAGAGAGUCAAAAUUGAAGUGGGCAUUUGAAGAUUUGGGUUUGGGUUUGAGUUUGAGGAAUCGGGUUUCCAAAUCAGAAUGAAGGAGUGAAUCAGAAAAAGCAGCACAAUUGAUUUUAGAGACUUGUUCAAGAACAGAGAGGUCUUGUGCUUGGGAGAUAAGCUCCUCCACUGCUGAAUCGUCAGUGUCUGAAAGGUUUCCAAAAUCGGCCAUUUCCACAGAGAGAG